rnacentral:tRNA from 1 species
UGCACGGUGGCUUAGUGGUUAGCACGUUCGCCUCACGCCUCGGGUCCGGGGUUCGAUUCCCGGGUGUGUGC